rnacentral:rRNA from 1 species
UACGUAGGGUGCGAGCGUUAAUCGGAAUUACUGGGCGUAAAGCGUGCGCAGGCGGUUCGUUAUGUCCGAUGUGAAAGCCCCGAGCUUAACUUGGGAAUGGCAUUGGAAACUGGCGGGCUGGAGUGCUGCAGAGGGGGGUGGAAUUCCACGUGUAGCAGUGAAAUGCGUAGAGAUGUGGAGGAACACCGAUGGCGAAGGCAGCCUCCUGGGCCGACACUGACGCUCAGGCACGAAAGCGUGGGGAGCAAACAGG